GACGAACGCUGGCGGCGUGCUUAACACAUGCCAGUCGAACGGAAAGGCCCUGCUUUUGUGCGGUGCUCGAGUGGCGAACGGGUGAGUAACACGUGAGUAACCUGCCCUUGACUUUGGGAUAUCUUCAGGAAACUGGGGCUAAUACCGGAUAGGAGCUCCUGCUGCAUGGUGGGGGUUGGAAAGUUUCGGCGGUUGGGGAUGGACUCGCGGCUUAUCAGCUUGUUGGUGGGGUAGUGGCUUACCAAGGCUUUGACGGGUAGCCGGCCUGAGAGGGUGACCGGCCACAUUGGGACUGAGAUACGGCCCAGACUCCUACGGGAGGCAGCAGUGGGGAAUAUUGCACAAUGGGCGGAAGCCUGAUGCAGCAACGCCGCGUGCGGGAUGACGGCCUUCGGGUUGUAAACCGCUUUCGCCUGUGACGAAGCGUGAGUGACGGUAAUGGGUAAAGAAGCACCGGCUAACUACGUG
rnacentral:rRNA from 1 species